GGUUGUGGCUCAGUGGAAGAGCACUUGUCUAGCAUGUGUGAGGCACUGGGUUUGAUUCUCAGCACCA
rnacentral:tRNA from 1 species